UACAGAGGUGUCAAACGUUGUCCGGAAUUAUUGGGCGUAAAGGGCGCGUAGGCGGCCGGGUAAGUGAGAUGUGAAAGCUCUGGGCUCAACCCAGGAAUUGCAUUUCAUACUGCUCGGCUAGAGAUUGGUAGAGGAUGGCGGAAUUCCAGGUGUAGCGGUGAAAUGCGUAGAUAUCCGGAGGAACACCGGUGGCGAAGGCGGCUUCCUGGACCGACACUGACGCUGAGGCGCGAAAGCUAGGGGAGCAAACGGG
rnacentral:rRNA from 1 species